CUGGAAUUGCUAGUAAUGGCAGGUCAGCAUACUGCCGUGAAUACGUUCCCGGGCCUUGUACACACCGCCCGUCACACCAUGAGAGUCGGGAACACCCGAAGUCCGUAGUCUAACCGCAAGGGGGGCGCGGCCGAAGGUGGGUCCGGUAAUUGGGGUGAAGUCGUAACAAGGUAAC
rnacentral:rRNA from 1 species